rnacentral:rRNA from 1 species
GACGAACGCUGGCGGCGUGCUUAACACAUGCAAGUCGAACGGAAAGGCCCUGCUUUUGUGGGGUGCUCGAGUGGCGAACGGGUGAGUAACACGUGAGUAACCUGCCCUUGACUUUGGGAUAACUUCAGGAAACUGGGGCUAAUACCGGAUAGGAGCUCCUGCUGCAUGGUGGGGGUUGGAAAGUUUCGGCGGUUGGGGAUGGACUCGCGGCUUAUCAGCUUGUUGGUGGGGUAGUGGCUUACCAAGGCUUUGACGGGUAGCCGGCCUGAGAGGGUGACCGGCCACAUUGGGACUGAGAUACGGCCCAGACUCCUACGGGAGGCAGCAGUGGGGAAUAUUGCACAAUGGGCGGAAGCCUGAUGCAGCAACGCCGCGUGCGGGAUGACGGCCUUCGGGUUGUAAACCGCUUUCGCCUGUGACGAAGCGUGAGUGACGGUAAUGGGUAAAGAAGCACCGGCUAACUACGUGCCAGCAGCCGCGGUGAUACGUAGGGCGCGAGCGUUGUCCGGAUUUAUUGGGCGUAAAGGGCUCGUAGGUGGUUGAUCGCGUCGGAAGUGUAAUCUUGGGGCUUAACCCUGAGCGUGCUUUCGAUACGGGUUGACUUGAGGAAGGUAGGGGAGAAUGGAAUUCCUGGUGGAGCGGUGGAAUGCGCAGAUAUCAGGAGGAACACCAGUGGCGAAGGCGGUUCUCUGGGCCUUUCCUGACGCUGAGGAGCGAAAGCGUGGGGAGCGAACAGGCUUAGAUACCCUGGUAGUCCACGCUGUAAACGGUGGGUACUAGGUGUGGGGUCCAUUCCACGGGUUCCGUGCCGUAGCUAACGCUUUAAGUACCCCGCCUGGGGAGUACGGCCGCAAGGCUAAAACUCAGAGGAAUUGACGGGGCCCCGCACAAGCGGCGGAGCAUGCGGAUUAAUUCGAUGCAACGCGUAGAACCUUACCUGGGUUUGACAUGGAUCGGGAGCGCUCAGAGAUGGGUGUGCCUCUUUUGGGGUCGGUUCACAGGUGGUGCAUGGCUGUCGUCAGCUCGUGUCGUGAGAUGUUGGGUUAAGUCCCGCAACGAGCGCAACCCUUGUUCACUGUUGCCAGCACGUUAUGGUGGGGACUCAGUGGAGACCGCCGGGGUCAACUCGGAGGAAGGUGGGGAUGACGUCAAGUCAUCAUGCCCCUUAUGUCCAGGGCUUCACGCAUGCUACAAUGGCUGGUACAGAGAGUGGCGAGCCUGUGAGGGUGAGCGAAUCUCGGAAAGCCGGUCUCAGUUCGGAUUGGGGUCUGCAACUCGACCUCAUGAAGUCGGAGUCGCUAGUAAUCGCAGAUCAGCAACGCUGCGGUGAAUACGUUCCCGGG